GAAGAAAGACCUCAACCAAAGGAUGGCGAAGUCAUUGUAUUUACUGAUCACAUGAACCGGGGCUUCUCACCACCCGACUCGAAGUUUUUCCGAGAUGUUCUGCACUUCUUCCAACUCCAUCCUCAAGACAUCGGACCCAACUCCGUGUCAAAUAUCUGCAACUUUCAAGUCUUCUAUGAAGUAUACCUUCAAGAAGAGCCCAGCGUCGACCUCUUUAGAGAAUAUUUUUAUUUGAACCGCCAGAAUGAGUUCACGAAUGGGCCCAUCUUGGAACUUGGCGGAAUCUCGAUUCAACGCAUAAGAGAUGCCAUCUUCCCUUAUGCCUGCCUGCCGAGUCACCCCAAGGAUUGGAACCAGACGUGGUUUUAUUGCAAAGAUACCUCUCCGGCUGACGAGAAUCCACUGCCGGGUUAUCGUGUCGAGCGCCUAGACCCAAAGCACAAUCUUCCUGGAAAA
rnacentral:rRNA from 1 species